rnacentral:lncRNA from 1 species
AUGCUUGGAUCACUUCCAGUAGCCAUGAUGGAGGGAAGAGGCUGUGGAGGACACCUUCAAUAUUCUGAUUCAGAAGUGUGCCUCAGGUGGAGCCCAGGUAUCUAUAAUAUGGACAUUUCAAGACCCAGAAAAGAUGAAAUAAUUUAUUACCAGCAGACUGAAAUAAGAAAUGAUAAGUGAAAUGUUCAGAAAAAAUGAGAAUAGAUGAAAAUAUGAAUGCUUGCAAAGGUCUAUGAGCAAUCAUAAAUGGCAAUUAUGUGAGUAUAUGUAUAAGACUUUUUUCUUACUAUAUAAAUCUCUUUGUGAUAUAUUAUUUAAGUAAAAUAAUAUUAUACUGGAUAUGUUAGUAGAAGUAAAUUGUAUGUCAGCAAGGUCAAGAGAAAAGACAUGGAAAAACAUUAUUGUACCCCCAUAAUUCAAUCACCACCACCCCCACCUGGUUCUUCCCAUGACACAUGGAAAUUGUGGGAGUUAAAUUCAAGAGGAGAUUUGGGUGAGGACACAGCCAAACCAUAUCAUUCUUACCCUGGCACCUCACAAAUCUCAUGACCUCACAUUUAAAAACCAAUCAUGUCUAACCAACAGUUCCCCAAAGUCUUAACUCACUUCAGCAUUUGCUCAGAAGUCUGCCAUCCAACAUCUUAUCUGAGACAAGGCAAGUCCUUUCCACCCACAAGCCUGUAAAAUCAAAAGUAAGCUAGUUACUUCUUAGAUACAAUAGGGGUAUAGGCAUUGUGUAAAUACAGCCAUUCCAAAUGGGACGAAUUGGCCAAAACAAAGAGACUACAGGCCCCAUGCAAGUCUCAAAUCCAGUAGAGCAGCCAAAUCUGAAAGCUCCAAAAUGACCUCCUUUGACUCCAUGUCUUACAUCUAGGUAAUGGUGAUGCAAGCAGUGGGCUCCCACAGCCUUGGGUGGCUCCACCCUGUGACUUUGGAGGGUACAGCCCCCCUCCUGCCUGCAUUCAUGGACUGGCAUUGAAUGUCUGCAGGAUUUCCAGGCACACA